UACGAGGGGGGCGAGCGUUGUUCGGAAUUAUUGGGCGUAAAGGGUGCGUAGGCGGUUUGGUAAGUCUUGUGUGAAAUCUACAGGCUCAACUUGUAGUCUGCACGAGAAACUGCCGGGCUUGAGUAUGGGAGAGGUGAGUGGAAUUCCUGGUGUAGCGGUGAAAUGCGUAGAUAUCAGGAGGAACACCUGUGGCGAAAGCGGCUCACUGGACCAUAACUGACGCUGAUGCACGAAAAGCUAGGGGAGCAAACAGG
rnacentral:rRNA from 1 species